rnacentral:misc_RNA from 1 species
AGAGAGAGAGAGAGAGAGUAAUCACAUAAUGUGGAACAAUCAUGCAAAAUGCAAAUUGACAUUCUCAAGAAACAUUCAAGGCCCACUAGAUAAAUAUUAACUUUAAAUUUUUAAGCAUCAAUAUCCUUUUGGAAAUUGAUAACCACAUGUUUGGUCCAAGAAAUCAUGCUAAAUAUACAUAUGUAUGCAAGCAUUCCUUUUCAACCAUAAUUGAUAAUUUGAGGGACAAAGCCAAGAGGCAAAAACACCACACAAGAAAGAGAGAGAAUAAUCAUAUAAAGUGGAACAAUCAUGCAGAAUGCAGUGAAAAAAGAUAAACUAUUCUGUAAACUAUAACAGUUACAUUGUCCAAUUGUUUUGUUCGAUU